CCCCAUCACUUUUAGGGUUUCAUUAGUUAAUUUAAUCCCUGAUACUUUACAGGCCAGUAAUAACCUAGCUGCCCCAGUGUAUUGGGUUUGAUGGCAACGUUCUGGGGGAGGGCUGUGAAGGGAGGAGGCUGCAGUGGCAGCCCCCGCAAGAAAAAUCCAGAAGCCUCCCCGUGGCAGAUAAUGGACAAUUUCAGCCAGCCCCAAGGGGGUCCACCGCUGCCCAGAGCAAAGCCAUGAGCAACACAGUCUGUGCCUCUGUGAGAGCACAUCCAAGAAAAC